UGAAAUUAGGAUGUGGAUAAAUGUCAGUCAAACAUGUGCAAGCAUUGAUGGAAAUUGUGAGACAUAUGACACGCUUUCUGCAUAAUCAUGAUAAGUCCUAAAAGUCUUCAAUCAGAUUUUCAACCCAAAUCUGAAUUAAUUAACCCUGGGGCAUGGUUAUCAGAGGCAAACAGUGAUUCUGGGAUGACGUCCAAAAUAUGUAAAAAUCAAAGAGAUAGAGGAAGAAGAAAAAGCUUUCGAAGUCUGGAUUUGUUAGUGAAAUAUGCCACACCUGCAAAUUGCCUUGUUGUUCUUCUAAAGUUUUGUUUUGGGACUUUUUUAGCUCCAUAAUGAUUGCAUAUCAUGCAUGGAUCCACUAAGACAGAUUUUUUUAUCCAUUUAUGAUCCAAAAAGAAAAGUCCUGUCAUGAAUAAAAAGAUUCACCUGUUGGAUUGUAAGUACUCACAAUGUUGAUCCCUUACACCAUUACAGCAUCACUAUCAAGUUAAUAUGUGACCUGAAACACUAAUAAAAAAAUACUGCUGAUUUUAAAUCAUAAUUUUCAUCAUCAUGCUCUUUGUAAUUAGAUGGCAUUGUAAUUGACUGAAGGGCAAUCAUCAUUAUUGCAACAGUAACUGUGGAUGACGGGACAGGCUCCCCUGUUACUCUUCAAAUUCCCCUCCUCUGUUUUUCAGUUAUCUUUUUUUUUUUGCUUCGAGGGCUUUAUUUGCUUGAAAAACUUAUAUUCACAUUGCCGAAGUGAGGGGAAAAAAAUACAAAAUCAUUGUAAUGAUAAGAGAUGUAGGGAAAAGUGUAUAGCCUUGUCUUUUCUUGAUAACUGUCUUUAGUCAGAAAUCAAUUACAGUCCCAAAGUGGCCUGAUAAGUGAUCAUGACUAAAUCAAGAUAGUUCCUAAAUACAAUGCCAUGGAGCCACAUAUGGCAAUAUAUAGAACUUGAGGUUCUUUUAAAUUUAACACAGAAAUAUUGAAGAUGCAGUUUCCAAUUUCAAAAAUAGCAACUUUAAGGGCAGGGCAACAGUUUUGGCAAUAAUUUGUGCUGAACAUGUUUGUUAUUUUUGUUAUUUCAGUACUGCAGCUCAGUGUUUACAAAGCUCAAUGCCACCUCAACAUGCCACCUGUUAGAGCCUGGACGUUGUGUUCUCUGACAUAAACCAGCUGAAAUGACUACAUGAUAGUGAAAGGACAUUUUACUGGUAUAUGUGGUUUUUUGCAUUUUCAAAUUUAAAUAAAACCCCUGAUAUAAAAUGUUCCUUCUCUCUGGUGUAGCUAUGAUGUCCUCAUUUGAAGCAUGUAUAAGUUAUUACUUUAUACAGAUAAGCAGAGGAUUGUACUCAGUCUCAAACCAAAGCAAAGCAACUUUCUUGAAUAUGAGAAAAUCUGAGCCAUCGUCAAUGACAACCUAAUUGUUCAGAGAUUGAGCUCUUUUAAAAAAAGAUUUUCUCAGCUGGAAAAUGAGCCAAAGUGAAUAAGAAAAGCUGCAAAGUAAAUAUGGCUUGUGUUGACAGAGUGAAAAGUUGAUAAAUGCUGCGAGUGUGUGCACAGACAUACUGUAUUUGUACAGCUGGGCCACCCCAGUCAGAAAUGUCUGGACACGCCCCUGCUUCCUUGGCCUUAGUUUACCUUCAAGAAGAGCAAAGAAAUGGACGGAUCUGAUUUUCUGCAGAAGAUAGAUAGAUAGAUAGAUAGAUAGAUAGAUAGAUAGAUAGAUAGAUAGAUAGAUAGAUAGAUAGAUAGAUAGAUAGAUAGAUAGAUAGAUAGAUUUGAUGGAAUGAGGAGAGUAAUGGGUUGCAGAAGCAGGAAUUUGGGGGGAUGCAUUGCAGUUUAGAGGUCAUAACCUUGAGUAUUGAUCAGGUUUUGUCAUUUCCAUGGCGACUGGAUCCCCCACUAUUCGGACCUGCUGGAGUACAUUAGACCUGAGAUCCAUAACGCCUGUUUGUUCUCUCUCUCUCUCUCUCUCUCUCCCUCUCUCUCUCUCUCUCUCUCUCUCUCUCUCUCUCUGCUUCUCUAUCUCACACACAGACUGUGACACACCUACACAGAGGUGCAAACACACUCAUCAAUACACACAGACAUACACGCACACACAGACGCACACAUACACACAGCUGCUCAUCCAAGCACAGGAAGAAACUGAAUUAAACCUUAAAAACAAUCUGGGCCUGCAGAGAGGACAAUUCAUCAUGAUCUCUGUGUGUCAGAGGUGUGUGUGUGUGAGAGGGAGAGAGAGUGUGUGUUGAUUUUAGUUUGGUGGGGUGUGGAGGUGGGAGGGGGUGACUGCAACAGCUCCAGCCACUGACCAGUCGUGUACACACACACACACACACACACACAAACCGUGUUCACUUCACAACACUGAUCUUUAAACACUCAUCCACAUUCCAGCCAAGGUCAGCUGGAUUGUAAAUGAAGCUACAUAUCUGGCCUGCAGUCUGUGUGUCGUUGUGUGUGCGUGUGUUAGUGUGUGUUAGUGUGUGAGGGUAAGAGAGAAAAAGGGGAGAAAAGGAGAAACAAGAUGAGCGAUAGGAUUGGUGAGAUGGGAACGACCCUGGUGCAGAGCAUGAACCAAAUCAGGACAGUGAGUUGGAGAUUGGCUAAUUUAACUUUAUCCCACUCUUACUUUUCUGGCAGCGCCUACUUUUCCCGCCAUUUUUCUUAACUGUCUUCUUCCCACAUGACCCAUCAAGAGAUUCACCAGGGCUUCACCUCUGUCUCCACUCUUCCUCUGCUCUCUGACCGUCUCUUUUUUUUUUUUUCAUGUCUGACUCGUUGCGUCUCUCGUUGUGUGUGAAUGUCCAUCACUCCCGGAGGCGACUGAGGCAGUGGAAAGGCUCUGUAGUUUGUCCGGCAGGCUGGCAGGGGCCCGCAGAGCUGAGGGGCAGCCUCUUUGUGAGGAAAUGAUUUUCUCUGUGCUGAGGAGGACACUCCAAAUCAUCUCCAGCAAUCUCAGUAAUGGCCCUGAGACGCUGCUGCCUUUGUCCUGUAAUGGUGACAGAUGACUGGCUGGGCAGACGGGGGCCAUCCAGACGCCUAGUGAAGGGGCGAACACAAACCUCUGCGCACACACACACGCAUUUGUGCGAAAACACUUGCAUAAAAUGCCACUCCACUGGCGGCCAUUGUGAUUGCAGGUAAUUGUCUCUUCUCAGGCUGUGGUGUUAGUGGUUAUCCUUAACGAUCACUCUAAGAGAGGAGUCCUAACUAUCUGUCCUUUCAAAGAAAAGAUGAUUCCACUUUACAGAGUCACGCCUGAGAUCCCCACCACCAAAAACAACUCCACCUC